GUGUUGUAUGAAAGGAGAGAAGGUUAGCACUCCCCUUGACAAAAAAUAACUUUAGGCGCUAUGAUUUACAAAAAUGUUACCGCUGGGUUUGAUACAUCAAACAUCAUUGCCAUUUGUUAU